CAACUACAUAAGCAGGGGUGAGCGGUUGACCACUUCCCGAUGAAGGGAGGUGGAGAAAUGACGACAUACGAAGCAUUAAGCUUAAUUGCUCAAUUCAGCCUAGUGCUAAUAGGAGUGUUGACAUUAGUAAUCACGAUGGUCGUCUAUAUAAAAAAGAAGUAACCGCUCUCCCACGACCAAUGGAUUAAGACGGUUACUCCUGUUUAGUGACCACUAAUUCAGUGAGGUCAGCCGCUCUUCUCGCGGCAUGUAGUUGCAUUGAUCGAGUGUUUGUUGCACUCGAU
rnacentral:sRNA from 1 species